CUAUCGCUUGUACGUAGUACAAUCUCUGGUCACAAUGCUUCGCAUCAUCCUGUCAAACUGAACCGUAGGGACAAGUUAGGAUAUUGUAAUCAACCAUUACACUUAAACAACAUACAAAACAUGGUAUCCCUAUUCCUAAAACGGUUAGCACGACUCACAUCUCUUUGAGCAAUUUUCGAAAUACGCAAGAACAAAGACUUAAAAUUAAUAAAAGGGACUUCGUCAUUUUGAAUCGUCCUCAUUUGCCGCUACCGACCAGAGUCCGUUACACAUACUCUGGUCAAACGAAGAAUUUGUGAUCGUUUUGUAAUUUAAAGUGCUGUGAAUAUCUGUUAUUUGUACCCAGCAUUCCUGUAGCCGGCGAAAUGUGUCAGGGAGUUGGUCCCAACCCGAACCAUCCAAACUAACCGUCAAGGACCGCGCUCUACGCUAAAAGUGGUCGUUUGGUUGGUGGUGCAAGGAGGUAACAAAAAUGUGAACCUCCAAGUUGGCAGAGCGCGCCAACCCGAGAAUCUGUUAGAGCGCAAUGGCGGAGGCCAUCCGGUGAGUUCAUUGUUACCACUGUUACACAAAGCACAAGUACUAAAACAAGCCUUAAACACUGUACAGGUUUUUAUCAAAGACAAAGACACAAAACCAAAGACACCAAAACCGUUGCUGCGCCAGGCCUGGCCGGAGGAAGAUCCUCCGACUUGACUCGACCACCGCGGGAUACACUAGAACACACGAACACACACACACAUGGUUAGGUUAGUUUUAAAACGACGAAAAACAAUAAAUUAGGACAUUUAAAUGCAAUAAACAUGACUUUUUCCAUAACCCAAAGCGACGAUCUUUUGUGAUUCUUUUUGCCAGGACAGUGCGAUUAGCUGAAUCGAACCAGGAUUGUGAAAGGGUAGGUACAAUUCUCCUUCCCCACGUCAAAUGUGAGCAGUUGCAGAUCUUUACAUCUCUCUCUCAUCUCCAAGAGUCUCAAGUUCUGGUUUUUAUUUAAUUUUUAAUUAAUGAAC